rnacentral:lncRNA from 10 species
UUUUUCUUCCCCACAUGGUUUUCAGCUGAUAGGCAGCCAUUUUGUGCCUAUCCCAGUUGGCAAAUAUAACACAAUUUGAUCUCUUUCCAUUCUUAGAAACAAUGAAGCCCUUUGUUUUUGCCUUUCAAGACGAUAAAUGGAAUUGCAGUCAUUCCUCCAGUGGCUAAUACCUGCCAGCAGAUCCUGAAAGAUGUCAUUGAUUUCUAGAUGUAUCCUGAUUUCAAGGUUGUGCAGAUUUCUUCAAAAGUGUGGCUACCCGACAUAAACAUCCUCUACCCAGAUUCCAUCUGAAGUGCUGAAAGAUGAAAAGUAUAUGGGCUUUGGUGCUUGGCAGAACUGAGUCCUCUUUCCAGCAAUGACCUUAGCUCACAUACGUUUUCUAUUCUGUAAAAUAAAGGCAAUAAAACAGGAAUAUUGUGCUGUUUCUCUGAGCUGAUAUGCUACACAGAGAUCGCGGUGCAUGGCUUUUUUUUUUUGAGACGGAGUCCCGCUCUGUCGCCCAGGCUGGAGUCAAAUUGUCAUUAUAAUUGUUUUGGUUAUGACCUCUAAAAUGAUAACUAUUAUUUAUAACUGUUAUAAUUAGAUAACAAUUUGAAAAUGUUUAUAAUAACAUUGUUAAUUCAAAAAAGUGAUUGUUAUAGAACCAUACUCUAGGUUUCCAAUUAAAAAAAACUCUGCAUAAUGAGAAAAUAGUAAAUAAAAUGUUCCGUAAGUGGCAUAUUGCUAAUGAAUAUUUUUUAAAUAAAUAAUAUUUGUUUAAUAAAAUAUACACAAUUAUAAUGUCUUAAAAGAGAUUGUAAAAUUGUCACCAAUAGUUGAUGACUCAUGAACAAGGUGUGGAAAUUUAUCAAAGUAUUUAUCCAAAUAAUGCUAAAUGACCUGGAUCCUGAAAACACACUCAACAUAACAUAUUUUGAAAAAGAGCCAAUAUUUAAUAUGAAUCUGCUAUGACUUUGGAGGACCACUGCACAGAAUUAUCUCCUAGGACAGAGUACAAAAUUGCUCCCCAAAAUGCCAAGAUUAUUCGGUCACUACUCAAAAAGAAUGUAAAACUUUAUUCUGAG